GUAGCAGCAUUUCUGUCCUACUGGUACCACGGGCAGCAUGGCUGUUUGCUUCUCCAUGGACGGGGACUGCCCACCCCUGGGCAGCUGUGCCAGUGCCUGGCUGCUCAAUGGAGCAGACAUUGCUCUGAUGUCCAACCUGACCCUCCCUGGCACAAGGCGAGGCCAGCACCUCCUAUGAAGAUGAAGGGGAAGAAGAGUGGGGUGCAGAACCACCUGGGGGUCUUCAUGGACCAGCACUGUGAAGGAUGCAGUUAUUGUGCACUGUCCUUGUGGACUCACCUCAGCAGUAACCUCGCACCGCUGUGCAUUUUCCUGGCACACUGACAGUCCCAGCGAGCAGCUGCAGUUCCAUGGUGGCUACAUUAGGAAUGUGGCUUCUGCAGCCAUCACUGUGGCCAUCAGCAGCGGAUGUCUGCUGUGCAGAGGGACAUGGGUGCCAACAGCAAGCACCUGGGCAUGGAAAGCUGGUUUCUGUUACUGUAAAUGAGCACCUUUAGUUCAUAAAUGCAAGAAAACUGAUAGCCAACCUGACCCAACCCUGGAGAAGUUUAUGAAAGAAGAUAAAGGAUGGGGUACCGGGAGACAAAAGACUCAUCGCCUUGCAGGAAAGAGAUGAAUGCAGAAAAAGAAGAAGAGAUGGAUUGAAGCUCGUUUUGAAGGCAGAAGGAGCCAUCCCCAGGUCAGCUUCCAGUACUUCCUAUGACAUUUAUUGAAGUCAACAGAGAUGUCACUUUUGACCAUCAGCCUGAAUGUGUCCUCCCAACUGGAAGGGCUUUUUUCACCUUGAUGAUCCUUGAGGUUCCUUCCAACCCAAGCCAGUCCAUGAUUCUAUGAUUCACCGACUGCAUCACAUCCCACAAAGUAUCUCAAUGCAGAGCUGAAGCAACUCCCCUUCAUCUUAAUGGCACAGCAGAAGAUAUUCACAAGGAUGCCAGGACAUAUUCUUCUGGUUUAAGUGGAGAAACAUUGGCACUGGAUGUCACUGGAGCAAGAUCCUGAAGCCUGGGGAGACUUCUGGAAAGGAGGUUGUGAGCAUCACUGUCAUGGCAAGGGGUUGGUAUAAAUAAAAUAGAGGAUGCAGGGAGAACAUUGAAUGCAUGUGUUCUUUAACUAGCAGUGCAUCAUCAGUGCAUCAACUUCAUCCAUUUUUGAAUGGGAUGUCUGCCUCGUACAAUGAAGUGAAUGUAUCUUAUGUUCUUAUUGUGACUCUCAAUUCUUGGGAUCCAGAGGCCUGUGGCUACUGAACUCUCAUUUGUAUAUCACCUCACUGUUACUGUCUGGGUUUUAGCUGUUACCCUCAGUCUUUUAUUCCCAUGAUCCCAGAAGCUCUCUCUCUUCAAACAGAUCUUUAUUUUCUGAAGUGUAUUUAUUAUUCAGCUUAACUUCUAGGAGCAGAUCACAGUGAGAAAGAGAACUGCACGAGGCUGUUUCUGCUGCUUGCUGCUUUGAGACUCAACUUGCACUGAAAUGGUUAAAUUCAGCACUUCAUUUUUGCAAAUGCUCUCUUGAGUUACUUUGGCUUUUGUGAAAUUUUCUUCCCCCUGGUUUCAGUUGCUGGAAUAUCUAAAAAACACUUAAACAAGCAUAAAAGAAAUCCAACACAUCCAUGGGUAUUAACCUGUUGGAUGUUACCUAAUGAGCCCAUAUGCUGUACUGUCAUUCAUUCACUGUGACAGAAGGAUGACAUGGAAAUGCUGACAUAUAUCUGUGUUGUUUAAUGCAGGCACAGUGUAACUCAUUAUUUUAUGCAGCAAACCAAAGUCUCUAAUGCCUACAAGGAUGCUAUAGAAGCUGCUUUUCAGAAACAGAACAAAAUCUACCUUUCCUGUGUGCCUAUGAAAAAAGGGAGGACUGCAUGAGGAGCCCAAAUUGUAUGAAGCUGAGUGACAGAAUUCUCUGCGGCUGCUAACAGCAAUCCCACCAUGUCUGUGAGAGCUGAAAGAACUGCAUAUUUUUCCAACUGUGACCCCAAGAAUAGGUAUUAAUGCAGCUGCUACAUUCUAAAUACUUCUGUAACAGUUUUUUCAGAUUGUUCUUCCCAUUCAUUUACAACAGGCUGAAUGGAAAUGGAGAGGAAAACAAGUGCUAACCUCAUAGAGCAGUUGUGGAUGGGUGGGUAGCAGCCCAAGGGCUGCAUUUGCUUUAGGUCCUCCUCAUGGAAUUAGGGUUAUUAUUGUGAUUUACUAAGAAACAUAUGUGCAAGUAUACACCAAAACUGCAGAAAAUAGAAUUUUAGAAGCUUAUUCAGCAGUGGAUUUCAGGAUACAGAUGUUGGAUAUAAUAUACUCGCACUAAAUCGGAUUCUGGGUGAAUAAAGGAGCUGAUGUUAAAUUCAGCUUGGAGCCCUGCUCAGCACUCAGUUUGAAAUACACAGCCUUUUUGUUUCGCUUUUGCAACUUAUUCAAUAAAUAUUUUGGCAUGCCUGUCUGUUACGCUGCCUUAAUCUUCUCUUCAACUGAGCAGAAAUUAGCAUUUGUAAUUUAUUCACCAAGGGAAACUCAAAAGGCUCUGCACCAGGGUGAAAUGUAAUGCCCAACAGAUAGCUGGAGAGCUGAGUCAGCACAAUGGGCGUUUGACAAAUUUGCUCAUUGCCUGCACCUCAUUGAAUGGGAGACGUGGCAGAAAGGGGGGGCAAGCUUUUAUCUGUGUCUCAGUGGAGCCAUGCAGGGCUGUGAAGGCUGGCUGCGCUGUGCCAUCAUCCCCUCUUCAAGUCCCAUAACACAAAUGGCUGUGCCAUUCAACUCAGGUCAUUACAAGAAAAUCACAAGAUGCCCAUUCUGUAUUGUAAACAGCAGAUAGACAGUUGUCAGUUAUCUUACUGAGAAACAAAGUCUCUCAUCAGCUUGAUUCUUUUCCCCUCGAUCCAACCCCAUGCAGGUUUAAAUAAAUUAACUCUAAACAAGUAAAGCAACCAAAAUACCCACUCACCAGAUUUCAAUGACUAAACAGCAGGUUCACACUCAGGAUGACUCAUUUAUCUCAUUAUUAGAAUUCUUGUCUAUCUUGUUAUUAGAAUUCAGGUGGGAAAAGGCUCCUGAGAGACGACCCACCCCACUGUGCCCACGUCCCUCAGUGCCACAUCCCUGCAGCUCUGAACACCUCCAUGGAUGGGGACUGCCCACCCCAGGGCAGCUGUGCCAGCACCUGGCUGCUCUCUGGAGCAGCCAUUGCUGUGAUACCAUCCUGACCCACUCAUCUCAUUGCCAGGGCAGAGGCUGACCCCCACCUCACUACAUGCUUCUUUCAGGGAGUUGGAGAACUCACAUCCUGCAGUGAAAAAGGAGCAGUUUCAGCCAUGACCUUCACCCCUCUCUCGCCUUCUGUAAGAGAUGAGUUUUUGGCACUGGGUACUGUUUUGGUGGGGGCCUUUUGCACCUAUUUCUUCCUUUGAAUCUCCUUGAAUCAUUUUGGACAUUGCUAUGAUGCAAGCCAAGUUGACAGACAUAGUAUGACAAUUAGGGCUGUGCUGAGAAGCAGGCACAAGGAAUGUGGUUUAUGAGUGGUAACGUCAUUGAUUUUUGCUUUCUCAAUGAGCUAGCCACCACUCCACAUAGAGAAUUUAUAAUCAGAAGCAUCCCUCUGUAUUGGCAGGUGGACAGAGCCUGACUUUCAGUGCAGCAGCAUUUGAUCGAUAUGGCGAUAUGCCGUACGCGUUGGUGAGCAAUGGGUCUCAUGCUGCCAUCCCUGGAACAGGAAGCAUUCCCACCACAAAAGCAGAUAUCAGAGUUCUUCACUGCACCGUUACCUGCUUGCUGGAGAAAGGAGGCAUGAAGCUGUUCUCCCUCCUGUUCCACCUGCACUCAUGUUUGCAGCACAAUGCUUGCUGAGAAACAAAGUAAGAAAAAAAAAGACUCCAGAAUGUGCAACUAUUACUCUGUAUAAGAAAAUUAAGGAAAGAAAAACUACCAUAAGUUGACAGUGAGCCAGGGGACGGGGGGCAGACAAGUACUUACUCUUUCCAGCGUGAAUUGCUUCGUUUUUUCUUCCUUUUCAGUUCAUUAUAGCCAUAACUUUAUUUAAAUGUAGCUUUUCUUUCCAGUGUGGCUGUGGUAAUUUCUUAGAGAACAUAUUUUAAUGGCCUGGCUGUACGCUCAGGAUUUCUGUUUGCUUCUGUAAUUGCUUCUUAAUUAUUUUCCAAUUGCUGAAACAACAGUUUCCACAGUUUAUUAAAAAGCGUUUUUGAAAGCUUUACCCUAAGGCAUUGUCAACAUUUUAUUACUAUCACUAACAGUCAGCACAAAUGAAUAAUCACCAGCGCUGGUAGCUCAUGUCAAGCAGACAAGAAUGGCAGAGUCCUAUGUAGAAAUAAGAUGACAUAGGAAUUAGGAUGAGCUUACUGUGUUUCCAGGUUGGAGUGGAGCAGCCACUUUAAACCCAAUGGCAUCUCUUUCAGGUAUAAGGUCACCAAUGGAGAUAACAUCACUGCAUUUGGAAGGAGAAAUAGUCUCAGAAAUUAAAAACAAAAAAAAUACAGCUACUGUUUAAGCCAC